rnacentral:rRNA from 1 species
UUGUUGGGUGGAUGAGUGGCGAACGGGUGAGUAACACGUGAGUAACCUGCCCCCUUCUUUGGGAUAACGCCCGGAAACGGGUGCUAAUACUGGAUAUUCACUGAUCUUCGCAUGGGGGUUGGUGGAAAGGUUUGUUCUGGUGGGGGAUGGGCUCGCGGCCUAUCAGCUUGUUGGUGGGGUGAUGGCCUACCAAGGCUUUGACGGGUAGCCGGCCUGAGAGGGUGACCGGUCACAUUGGGACUGAGAUACGGCCCAGACUCCUACGGGAGGCAGCAGUGGGGAAUAUUGCACAAUGGGCGAAAGCCUGAUGCAGCGACGCCGCGUGAGGGAUGGAGGCCUUCGGGUUGUAAACCUCUUUCGCUCAUGGUCAAGCCGCAACUGUGGGUUGUGGUGAGGGUAGUGGGUAAAGAAGCGCCGGCUAACUACGUGCCAGCAGCCGCGGUAAUACUAGGGCGCGAGCGUUGUCCGGAAUUAUUGGGCGUAAAGGGCUUGUAGGCGGUUGGUCGCGUCUGCCGUGAAAUCCUCUGGCUUAACUGGGGGCGUGCGGUGGGUACGGGCUGACUUGAGUGCGGUAGGGGAGACUGGAACUCCUGGUGUAGCGGUGGAAUGCGCAGAUAUCAGGAAGAACACCGGUGGCGAAGGCG